GACAGAGGGUGCAAGCGUUGUUCGGAAUUAUUGGGCGUAAAGGGCGCGUAGGCGGCUUGUUAAGUCAGAUGUGAAAUCCCAGGGCUCAACCGUGGAAGUGCAUCUGAAACUGGCAAGCUAGAGUCACGGAGAGGGUGGUGGAAUUCCCAGUGUAGAGGUGAAAUUCGUAGAUAUUGGGAGGAACACCGGUGGCGAAGGCGACCACCUGGACGAUGACUGACGCUGAGGCGCGAGAGCGUGGGGAGCAAACAGG
rnacentral:rRNA from 1 species